rnacentral:lncRNA from 1 species
UUUUGUUAAUGUAAAUAUACCUAAAUGGUCUGCAUCCGAGGAAUGGUGCUUGUUAAACCCUGUACUUUAGCACAAAAAGGCCAACAUCAGAAGAUGGAGGCAGCAGGAAAAUCUAAUGUCAUCUAAUGUUACUGGAAUAUUUUCACAUCUAACCAUAUCUGGUGCUCUGUUGCUAUGAAUCCAGAAAGAGGGUCAGAGGCCACCAGGCGCAGGGUUGUCUACAAGAAGACCAGUGUAAUGGUCCAGAAGAAAUCUCCUGCAGUCACAGGGAUCCAGACUCACUUUUUUUACAAGGAGCGCUAGGCCACUUCUUUCACCAUGCAGUCGCAUGGUCCCAUGGGUUUUCAUGUAAAAAGGAGAAACUCCUUGACUUUGAAUGGAGCUUCCUAUAGUUGUGAAUCUGGAAUAAUGCUGCAGAUUGGAACAGUAAUGAUUAAUGUGAUGGUCAUCUGUCCUGGAACAACAAGAUUUGAAUCAGGACUGUCCACACCCACCCAGACUCUUCAUGGUACCUCCCACAGGAACUAAGAGGGCAGUCUCUGACAAGGAAUUAGAGAAUUUUUGUUUAUUGCCACAGUUCUAAUCGGCUCUUUCUGUUUUUUACUAAAAUCUUGCUGAUUUCUCUGGGUCAUCCAACAGGUUUUCUUUUUCUAUUUUGACAGUAGCAGUAUUCAUGUUGACACUCCCCUUUCAAAUAAAUGUAUUUGAUUUUUAUCCUUUCUAAGUGUUUAUUGUUCAUUAUGCAUAAUAUUCAUCAUGAUGCAUAUUUUAAUGAAUUUGUCUGUAGCACACAGGACAAUGAUGUUCUAAUGUUAAAUGCAUUGAAGACUGAUAUUUUAGAUAAUAUUUAUACUGCUAAAUUGAUUCAUUGUAUUAUCUACUGUACCUGUCUACAGUAAACUAUGAAAGUUAAAGUAACACCCUGAACAACUUGUUAUUCCAAAUAGUCACAGAAAUAUGCUGCAUUUAAUU